CCCUUAGAGUUGAUUCCUGGCUCAGGAUGAACGCUAGCGACAGGCUUAACACAUGCAAGUCGAGGGGCAGCACGAUGUAGCAAUACAUUGGUGGCGACCGGCGCACGGGUGAGUAACGCGUAUGCAACCUACCUAUCAGAGGGGAAUAACCCGGCGAAAGUCGGACUAAUACCGCAUAAAACAGGGGUUCCACAUGGAAAUAUUUGUUAAAGAAUUAUCGCUGAUAGAUGGGCAUGCGUUCCAUUAGAUAGUUGGUGAGGUAACGGCUCACCAAGUCCACGAUGGAUAGGGGUUCUGAGAGGAAGGUCCCCCACACUGGUACUGAGACACGGACCAGACUCCUACGGGAGGCAGCAGUGAGGAAUAUUGGUCAAUGGGCGAGAGCCUGAACCAGCCAAGUCGCGUGAAGGAUGAAGGAUCUACGGUUUGUAAACUUCUUUUAUAUGGGAAUAAAGUGAGGAACGUGUUCCUUUUUGUAUGUACCAUAGAAUAAGCAUCGGCAACUCCG
rnacentral:rRNA from 1 species